rnacentral:rRNA from 1 species
AUUGAACGCUGGCGGCAUGCCUUACACAUGCAAGUCGAACGGUAACAGGUCUUCGGAUGCUGACGAGUGGCGAACGGGUGAGUAAUACAUCGGAACGUGCCUAGUAGUGGGGGAUAACUACUCGAAAGAGUGGCUAAUACCGCAUGAGAUCUACGGAUGAAAGCAGGGGAUCGCAAGACCUUGUGCUACUAGAGCGGACGAUGGCAGAUUAGGGAGUUGGUGGGAUAAAAGCUUACCAAGCCGACGAUCUGUAGCUGGUCGGAGAGGACGAUCAGCCACACUGGGACUGAGACACGGCCCAGACUCCUACGGGAGGCAGCAGUGGGGAAUUUUGGACAAUGGGCGCAAGCCUGAUCCAGCAAUGCCGCGUGCUGGAUGAAGGCCUUCGGGUUGUAAACUGCUUUUGUACGGAACGAAAAGCCCUGGGUUAAUACCCUGGGGUCAUGACGGUACCGUAAGAAUAAGCACCGGCUAACUACGUGCCAGCCGCCGCGGUAACAC